AGAUUAAUGAUAAGGAAAUGGGUCAGAGGGAUUAAAAGCCAGAGCAAGAGAUUGCCGAGAAGAUGAACCGCAGCCCACUCACUCCCCUGUGUCCACUUCCAUCUACAGAAGCUGGAUGGGAAGUCCCGUCCCAGCAGGGCUCCUGUGAAGUCGUGGGGAAAGCUCACCAUCAGAACCUGAGGCAGAGCCAGGCACCGCCCUCCACCGGCGGCAGCAGAGCUCACGGCUGGGAAAGGCCCGCAGAAGCGGGGAAGAGCCUUUGAAGUCCUGCUCUUGCAGAAACAAGCCUAUAAAUGAUGGCGUCUGUCAUAAGCACGAUAUGAAGCCGGGUUGUGGCCAAAAGAGAACAUCAAAUCCUGGAUCAUCGAUUUUCUGACCUUAGAGGCCCCUUUCAGGAUGAAGCCUCAUAAUUUUCAAGCUUCUCCAGUGUUCAUCCCCCAGAGAAAUGUGCCCUAUUCUUCCCAUAAUCCAGCAAACACCUAUUAAUUAACUGGAGGGGGAAAAAAAAGAGAAUUGUAGGGGAAGUAUGAUGGGGCAGUAAAACAGUAGGUACCCUCACUGACCCCAGGGCAGUAUGUAAUCCACCGCAAAUCUCCUCCCAAAUUACAACAAUGGCUUGUAGAGGAGAGGAAGAAGAGAAACCCUAAAUUUUAUUCCUACUUCCAACAUCUGCUCCCUCUCCAUUGUUGGGUGACCCGCCUAGAGUGGCUCUUGGUCUCCAUUCCUGCAGCAGGUUGGAAAAAAGAUUGUGUAAUGUCAGUCAAGUACCAAGCAAUUGAAAAGCAAGUGGUAUUAUUCAUCUGGAAAUUGACCUAGCUAGUCUUUGUCUCGGCUGCUAGAGCUAAUUUCAUUCACAGGUGCCAUGUUAUUUACUGAUUUAACCAUCUCCUUCAGUACCACUUCUCAGCAUUGCACUUUGAAGUAAAAUAAUGUUCUUGUGUGUGUGUCUUGAUUACACAUGUCACCGGAGACAGAAAUGAAGGUUUAAAAUUUCCUGCUAGGUGUUUGCUCUUCCUGGCUCGGAUCCGGCACGGCUGCCGGCUAUCAGGUUCCAUACACCAGCUGUGGUGUGGUGAGUGGGGGGCAGGGACUAGAACAGAAGCUCCCUCGUUCAUUCAACAAACAUUCUGUCGUAGGAUGGGUUCUCAAGGAAGCAGAUCCCAAGUCAAGGACUUGAGAGCAAGUCCUUUACUGGAGAACCAAAGAAAAUGACAGUUGUGAGGUGAGGAAGUAAGACAAAGAAAGGAAGGCAGUCAAUCAAGGGUGCAUUGUUGGGUCAUCUGGGAAAUUUGGGAUCUGGGGUAGAACACAUGCCUC
rnacentral:lncRNA from 1 species